rnacentral:rRNA from 1 species
CCUACGGGUGGCAGCAGUGAGGAAUUUUGGUCAAUGGGCGCAAGCCUGAACCAGCCAAGUCGCGUGAGGGAUGACGGUCCUAUGGAUUUUAAACCUCUUUUGUCGGGGAGCAAGGCCCGCCACGUGUUGCGUGAAGGAUAGUACCCGAAUAAAAGGCAUCGGCUAACUCCGUGCCAGCAGCCGCGGUAAUACGGAGGAUGCGAGCGUUGUCCGGAAUUAUUGGUGUUAAAGGUUGCGUAGGCGGAAGGUUAAGUCAGCGGUCAAAUGUCGGUGCUCAACACCGGACUGCCGUUGAUACUGGUCGUCGUGAGUGAGCGAGAAGUAUGUGGAA